UAUCCUUCCUCUAUUCUUUGAUCAUCUCUUUGUCACCAGUCUUUCUCAGGCCUCGCUCUCUCACAUUGUGUCUUUUCUUUCUCUUCAGCUAUUUUGAUCUAUUUCUGUUUGUGUCUCAAUCUUUUUUCUCUCUCUCACUUUUUUAUUCUGUCUUUGUGCCUUGCAGUCGUUUUUCUCUCUGUAUUUCUAUCUCCCAUUUUCUUUUCUCUUGAAUACUUUCUGAUCUUUCUUAUUUUCUCUCAGUUUCUCUUUAUGUCUGUAUCUCACUCUUGUUCUUUGUCUCAUUUCUUGCUGUCUCUCCACCUUCUCUCUCCAUCAUUAUUAAUCUCAUUCACACAUACACUCUGUGCGUGUGUCUUAUAUUUCUUUAUUUCUCUUACAUCCUCUCAUGUUUUUCUAUCCUACCUCUAUUCUUUCUCCAUCUUUGUCCUAAUCUUCCUCAGGAUUAUCUCUCUUUUCCUUCCCUUCAUUUGUUUUGUUUUAUUUCUGUUUGUGUCUCAAUCUUUUUAUUUCUUACUUUCAUUGCUUCUCUUCUCCAGCUUGGUCUCAUUACUUUCUCUCAUAUUCUCUUUUACUUUAUUUCUCUCUUGUUACUUUUUCCUCUCUACUUUUCUUUUCCUUCCUCUAUACUUCUUUCACUCUAUUACUGUCUUUGUGCUUUUCUCUCUAUUGUUCUCCUUGUUUCCCUUAUGUCUAUAUCUCCUUCUUUUACUGUUUUCCUCUUCCUUUCCCCCCUUUCAUUCACUGCAUUUACUCCUCUCUCUCUUUUUUUCUUUCUCUAUUUCUGUCUUUGAGCCUCCCACUCUCUGUCUCUUUUCUCUUUGCCUUGCUCUCAAUUUCACACCCCAUCUUUCAUUCUCACUCACUUUUUUCUCUUUCAAUCUGUCUUUUUUCUUCCGCUCACAUUUUGUUUCUUUUUCUGUCUGUAUCCGAUUCCUUUGUCUCUUGCCUCCCAUUCUCUCAUUUCUGUCUUUCCCAUGUCUGUCUUCAUAUCUUGCUGCCUCUCAUCUUAUUUCUUUGACUUCUAUUCUCAUUCUCUUCCUUUCCCUCAAUUCCACCUUUCAUACUUUCUCUACUUUACUCUCAAUUUCUAUUUCUUUUGCUCUAUUUUUUUUGUCUCACAUUCUUUUUUCUUUGAUUUCUAUUCCCUGUCUUCUAUUCUUUCUUACUCUUUCAUGCACUCAAUCUGUCUUCCUUUUAGUUUCACUCUAAUUACUUUUCUCUGUAUUUUCUCCUCUCUCCAUUUUUUACUAUGUCCCAUUCUUUUCAUUCUGUUCUUUCACUCCCAUUCCUUAUCUCUUUCUCAAUCUUCAUUAACAUCUCUACUCUUCUUUUUGUCUGUAUUCCAAUCAUUUCUCUUUCCCUCUCCCUUCUUCUCUUAACUUCUUUCUCUCACUGUUUUCCUUUUCUCUCCAUUUCUGUCUUUGUGUCUAUUCCACUCUUAUUUCUCACUCCUCUCUUUUCCUUGACAAAUAUCCUCUCAUUCUCUUCCUUUCCCCCAGUCCUACUCUUCCAUUCUUUUUCUCUCCAUCCUCUCUCUUAUUUCUCUCAUUCCCUCUCUUUUUCUUCCUCUUUACUUCUUCCUAUUCCUUUUGUUUUAUUUCUGUCUCCCAUUUUCUUCUCACUUCCAAUUUCUCUUGACUACUUUUUCUCUGUUCUUCACUCUCAUUUCUUUGUCCUUUAUCUCUCUAUUUCUCUCACUCUAUUUUAAUCAUUUCUUCUGCACUCUCGUACUUUCACUCACUUUCUACUUCCUCCUCUUUUUUCUUUUUGUCUCCCCUUUUUUGUUCUGUCUCAGUCUCUCAUGGUUUUCUAUAUAUCUCUCUCACUUUUUGUUUCUUUUUCUAUCUAUAUUCCAGUCUUAUUUUUCUCUCCUUCUUGCUUCUUCUCUAUUACUCUAUUUUCUCCUCUCUCUUUUUUUCUAUUUCUGUCUUUGUGUCUCUCUCUCCAUUUUGUUCACUGGUUCAGCCUCUCUGAUUCCCACUCUUUAUCUCUCUCUCUUUCAUUCACUUUUUGUCCCCUUGAUCUGCCUUCCUUUUUGUUUCUCUCUCCUUCCUCCUUUUUUCUAUUUUUGUCUUUGUGUCUCCCACUAUCAUGUUUUUCUCUCUUUCUAUUCUUUCUUGCUGUCUCUCCCCUUCAUUCAUUACUUUUUGUUUCUCUGUUCUUUAUUUCUCUCUCAUUCUCUUCCUUACUAUCUUCUUUUCCUCCCCCUGUCCUUGUGUCACCUUAUCUUUCUCCAUCUCUUUGUCUCACCCAUGUUUGUUUCUGCCUCUCUGUAUCCCACUCUUAUUACUCUCAACUUCUUUCGCUUUUUUUCUUUAUCUUCUAUUCUUUCUUUCUCCUGAUCUUUCUCACCCAUGUCUGUCUUAUUCUCAUUCUCUUAUUUGAUCUCAGAACCAUUCUUUUAUACUUUCUCUCCAUCUUCCUUUCACUUGCAUUCUUUUCUCUCGCCUCUCUUCCUCUGUCUCACUCUCCACCUCUCUCCUCAUUAUUUUCUCUCAUUGUCUCACCCUGUCUCUUUUUUUCUCUAUUUCUGUCUUGCACUCUUGUUUCUCUCAGUUUCACUCUCAUUACUUUUUCUCUGUUUCUGUCUCCCAUCCUUAUUUCUCUUUACCUCUCACAUUCCCUUUU
ensembl:lncRNA